rfam:Triticum aestivum genome assembly, contig: Triticum_aestivum_CS42_TGACv1_scaffold_518259_6BS
UGUGUACUCCCUCCGUUCCAAAAUACUUGACUUCCAUUUGUCCAAAAAUGGAUGUACCUAUAUACUAAAACAUGUCUAGAUAUGUAUAUAUUUUCACAAAUAGAAGGCAUGUAUUUUUCAACGGAGGGAGUAGAAU